CAGUGGGGAGUGAUCUCCUGUUGGGGAUUUCUCCCUUGUGUUGUUUUCCUCACAAGUCUAGAUCUUCUGAGUUGGUAAAUGUGGAAUGAUGUACUAACUUACAUUGAUGUACAGCGAAGAGCAAUAUUAAACUGACUGGAGAAGGUUCAAUUUAGAGAAAAAUGCCACCUUUCAUCAGUUAAGAGGAUAUAUCAGCAGAUUGAAAGAAGGAAGAGCCAUGGGAAUGGGACUUGUUCCAACGGAUGAGUACCCUGGUGUUCUGGUCCUGGAGCUGCACCCCUUGGUGUUAGCUGAGCUGCUUGGAGCCAUGUCUGAGAUUUUGAAUGAGCACCUGAUGUAAGCUGUAAAAAUACACAACAGGAAGAGAAAGGAAGCAGUGGGGUGUUUCAGUUACACUGUGUAUCUGCAUGAAGAUCAUGUCAGAGAGAAGAGUGGAAGAUUGGAGAGGAAUGCCUGGAAAGCAUGACAGCAUCACCAACCCACACAAAAGGAAAAUGUGGAUGCCCCAUCCUUGGAGGCAUUCAAGGCCAGGCUGGAUGUGGCUCUGGACAGCCUGGUUUGCUGGUUGGCGACCCUGCUCACAACAGGGGGGGGUUGAAACCAGAUGAUCAUUCUGGAUGUUUCCAACCCAGGCCAUUCUAUGAACAACUCUCAUACACCCACACUUACAAUCAAUGUGCAUUUUGAGCUGUAUUCACGUUUACAGAAAUUGAUUCAAGGCCCCAUAUCACACCACAGCUAAUUUCCAUCGGAAUACAAUGUUUCCUUAAUUAAGCAAGGCACGCAGCUGAUGGCCGCUUGGUUUGACUCAGAAAUGGCUAAUUAGUUAUCAAAUCCCUUAAUAGUUCAUGCUGAAGAUUCUGUCAUUACUUGUUGCUCCUCUCAAUCUUUAUUAUCACAAACCCUUUAAAAAUGCCUCAGCAGAAAAAAAAACCACCGUGCCCAUUAAUCCUUUCCAGGAAAGAACGCCAGUACCAGAUUAAGUCAAACUGGCAUCUGAAGCUAUUCUUUUCUUUAUGUCACAUAGUAAGUGGUCGGUAAUCCACGUCUUAAUCUCCUUGUUGCACAGCUUGGUUUAUCGUAACUGAUACUCCUGUGACUGCUGCAGACCCCUAUUGUGUUACCUGCAGCACUCAGCUCUUCUUCCUGUUUUUUUCCCCUGGAAUGUCUGAUAAAGGCACCCUUGAAGUUGACCACAGUCUCCUGAGAAACAGCUUUUCAGAGAAAAUGUGACUACUUUAAAGAUGCGCUUGUGUUACUUUUGGCUUUUCCCCUGAGCAAAGGCUCAACCAAUAUUUCUGCUUUCUGACAACACGUUAAUUUAACUGCAGGUUACAGAAAGCCUCCUUUGAAUCCCCUAUUCUAGUUCAAUAUAUUUUUUUUCUGAGAUGUAAUUAUACCUCAUGUCAAUGCUUGAACACCAGGAAAAAAAUAAAAAGCUGCAAGAAGUGAAAUUUCCCUUGACCAAUAAAUAUGAAAUAAAAAUGCGGAUGAUUUCUCCAUGUAGAAAUGAGAACUGACAUAACUAUUUAGGUCCCCCAAAAUUAAGCAUUUCAUAAACCUUUUGGAAUUGGGGCCCUGGAAAGUUGGUAUUCUCUAAAUCUUAAGCCUUUGGGGAAAAAAGAGAUGUACUAAGCUCCAGAUUUCAGAGCUCAGAACAGUUGCUGCAGAAACUCAGCAUCUUGAUUUGUGCUUAACUACUUUACAGUUCACAUAUUCCUUGUUUGAACUUUGCUGGGUGUAGUAAUUUUAUUCGCGCUCGGGCUGGAUUGGUUCUGCUUAUUCAGACCUCGUUAAUUAUAAGAAACUGGACUCAAGCUCACAUAUCCCAUUCACCCAUCCUGCCCUCAGGGCAGUCAAAUUAUCUGGCAUUUAACGAGGAGUUUUAGAUUUUGUAACUUAUCAGAAGUGGGCCCAGCAAGUGCUCACUGGUGAAUUCAACGCAGAGGGACUUCUCUGGGACUUGCUUCAAAACAGACAGCAGAGCAUCACAAUUUGCGUAGAGCGAGUUGAAACUGCCGUGCACUUGGAGCAAAGGGGCUUUUUGUGCUUUGAGUCUUGCCUCUGCCAGCUUUACCGUGUGUGAGAACUUUGUAUCUGCCCAGACUUUUGUGUAUUUAAUUACUCAGCUUCUGGAUAACUGACAGCAUCAAUAUUUUGUAUCCUCAG